CAGCAGCAGCCACUCUAAUUUUCGCGGCUUUUUUCAAAUCUCUUCACUUAGCUACAAAUUGAAGUUGGAGAAAUUGUCCACUUCGCCGCUGCUCGACGUUCAUCGAAUUUGAACUGUUUUCAAUUGAAUUGCAGGAUAUGUCAUUCUUGAAGCAUAUUUGGGGUGAUGUUGUUGAGACAAUUUUUGGUUUCAAUCUCAUGCAUUUAGUGGUUUAUCUCUACCAGCCUCGUUGUCGUCAAAGUCCAAGUUGUAAUAUGACCAUGAGUUUUCCUCUACUUCAUGACUCAGUGACUCACCAAGGCCCAAAAAAGGCUUUAUUAUGAACUCCUAAAAUAGAAUGUCAUGCACGCAAACUUUGUUCCAAACAACAUCAAAGAUAGCAGCCCUGGCAAGGUCCGGCCAGAUAACAUGUGCUCGUAAGCUGUUCGACGAAAUGCCCCACAGAGACUCGGUCGCUUGGAAUGCAAUGCUUACCAGCUAUACCCACCUUGGUUCUCACCAAGAAGCCCGUGAGUGCAUAUAAUACGUGAACAAUACAAAUCCAACGGAAAAUUACAAAACCAAAUAUAUUAGUUGAUAUAACUAUGUCCUCUUUUUGCCAAUUGAUGUUUUGGGUUACCAGUCUUACUUGCCAGUUAAUAAUUCGCUUAUUGAUAUGUAUGGGAAGUGUUUGGAUCCCUCUAGUGCUAGGAGAGUGUUUGAAGAGAUGAAACUAAGGAAUGAAGUAACUUGGUGUUCUUUUUUAUUUGCGCAAACAAACUCUAGUCAGUUUGAUGUUGCACGUCAUGUGUUUUCUAUGAUGCCGAGAAGGGUGGAGAUAGCUUGGAAUAUUAUGAUUGUGGGUUAUGCACGGUAUGGGGAAGUGGACUCUUGUUUGGAUUUGUUGAAAGAGAUGAAAGAGAGUUUGUGUCGGCCGGAUCAGUGGACUUUCAGUGCUCUGAUGAAUGCUUGCGCUGAAGCAUUAGAAUUUUGGCAUGGUUGCAUGGUGCAUGCUCUUACUAUUAAAAGUGGUUGGAGUUCUGCUGCGGAGGUAAAGAACUCAGUUUUAAGUUUCUAUGCUGAACUAGGCUUCCAUGGCAGUGCAGUUAAGAUUUUUGAGUCCACUGGAAUCCUAACACAAGUAUCCUGGAAUGCCAUGAUUGAUACCUACAUGAAACAGGGGAAUACCCACGAAGCUCUUCUUGUAUUUCAGCGAGCCCCUGAAAAGAAUAUUGUCUCAUGGACAUCUAUGAUCUCAGGGUAUGCAGGAAAUGGACAUGGGGACGAAGCUGCCAAAUUCUUUGUGGAUAUGGUAAGAAGUGGUGUCCAACCAGAUGAUUUCACAUUCGGAGCUGUCCUUUAUGCAUGUUCAAGCUUGGCGGUACUUGGACAUGGUAAAAUGGUCCAUGGUAUCAUACUUCAUUAUGGCUUCCAUGCUUAUGUCUUUAUUGGGAAUGGCUUAGUUAACAUGUAUGCUAAAUGUGGGGAUUUACAAGGGUCAGUCCGUGCGUUCAGUGAUAUUUUACAGAAGGAUCUGGUAUCUUGGAAUGCUAUGUUGUUUGCAUUUGGGUUGCAUGGGCAAGCUAUCCAAGCUCUACAGGUUUUUAAGGAGAUGGUAGAAAAUGGAGUAAAACCAGAUAAUGUGACCUUCAUUGGCCUGUUGAUGACUUGCAGCCAUAAUGGGCUUAUAGAGGAAAGUCGCAUGCUUUUUGAAACCAUGGGGUCAGUUUAUGGGAUUUCUCCUGAAAUGGAGCAUGUGGCAUGCAUGGUGGAUAUGCUCGGCAGAAGUGGUUACUUAGCAGAAGCGAAAGAGCUGGUUGAUGAGUAUUCAGAAGUAGGUAGUGCUGAGACCAGCUCAUGUGAAGCUCUACUUGGUGCUUGCUCCGCACAGGGGGACGUAGGAUUUGGAAGAAAAUUGGGCGAAAGUCUGAAGAUAUUAGAACCACAUAAAGAGACGAGCUAUGUGUUGCUGUCUAAUUUGUAUUGUGCAAGUGGGCAAUGGAAGGAAGCAGAAAUGGUUAGGGAGAUGAUGGUUGAUCAAGGGGUGAAGAAAAUGCCUGGUUGUAGUUGGAUUGAAGUGAGAAACAAGGUAACAGCUUUUGUAGCUGGGAAGCAUUCUAAUCCAUGCAUGAAUGAGUUAUGUAAUAUAUUACAUUUCAUUAAUUUUGAAAUGAGGAAUCCAUGCUUUGGUGACAUUGAUAAUUGAAAGAAAUUUACAUAUC